rnacentral:rRNA from 1 species
AUUGGACGCUGGCGGCAUGCUUUACACAUGCAAGUCGGACGGUAACAGGCCGCAAGGUGCUGACGAGUGGCGAACGGGUGAGUAAUGCAUCGGAACGUGCCCAGUCGUGGGGGAUAACGCAGCGAAAGCUGCGCUAAUACCGCAUACGAUCUAUGGAUGAAAGCGGGGGACCGUAAGGCCUCGCGCGAUUGGAGCGGCCGAUGUCAGAUUAGGUAGUUGGUGGGGUAAAGGCUCACCAAGCCAACGAUCGGUAGCUGGUCUGAGGGGACGACCAGCCACACUGGGACUGAGACACGGCCCAGACUCCUACGGGAGGCAGCAGUGGGGAAUUUUGGACAAUGGGCGCAAGCCUGAUCCAGCAAUGACGCGUGCAGGAAGAAGGCCUUUGGGUUGUAAACUGCUUUUGUACGGAACGAAACGGUCCUGGUUAAUACCUGGGGCUAAUGACGGUACCGUAAGAAUAAGCACCGGCUAACUACGUGCCAGCAGCCGCAGUAACAC